AAAAGCUCGUAGUCGGAUUUCAGUUUGUUGAAAGUUUCUUAUACAGAUAACUUUUCGACUUACUUCAUUGAUACGAACCUGCAUCUGAUUAAUUUCCGGUGUUGACUAGUAUCUCUUUUACUUUGAGAAAAUUAGAGUGUUCAAAGCAGGUUUUCGCCUGAAUAUUACUCUUGGAAUAAUGAUAUAGGACUUUGGUUCUAAUUUGUUGGUGUAUUGGGACCGGAGUAAUGAUUGAUAGGGACGGUUGGGGUCAUUCAUACUGCAAAGCGAGAGGUGAAAUUCUUGGACCUUUGUAUGAUGAACAACUGCGAAAGCAUUUGACUAGGACGUUCCCGUUGAUCAAGAACGAAAGUUGGGGGAUCGAAGACGAUCAGAUACCGUCGUAGUCUCAACCAUAAACUAUGCCAGCUAGGGAUGGGAAGGUGUUUUUUAUGACCCUUUCCGCACCUUAUGAGAAAUCAAAGCAUUUGGGUUCCGGGGGGAGUAUGGUCGCAAGGCUGAAACUUAAAGGAAUUGACGGGAGGGCACCACCAGGAGUGGAGCCUGUGGCUUAAUUUGACUCAACACGGGAAAACUUACCAGGUCCGGACAUAGUAAGGAUUGACAGAUUGAAAGCUCUUUCUUGAUUCUAUGGGUGGUGGUGCAUGGCCGUUCUUAGUUGGUGGAGUGAUUGGUCUGGUUAAUUCCGUUAACGAACGAGACCUCAGCCUGCUAAAUAGUUUACAUUUCUUUUGAAUUGUCGAACUUCUUAAAGGGACUACUUCGCAACAGCGAAAGGAAGCUUGAGGCAUAC
rnacentral:rRNA from 1 species